rnacentral:ncRNA from 4 species
CAAUAACAGGUCUGUGAUGCC